AAAGAACAAUGAAGAAGCUUGCCUUCAGCUCACUCAAGCUGUUCAAGGAGCACUUGGGGCAGAUCAAGAGCUGUGUUAUUUUGAGUCUGCAAAAUAACCAGUGCGUUUUCUGUGGUGUAAACGCUGACUGAACAAAAAACUGAAAGGUGGUCCCAUCCCUUGGGGGACUGGAACCUGGUAUUAGCCAUCUGACCAAGAAAUGAUUAGAACAGUCACUGGAGAGGAUAAGGUUACAAGCUAACUCUAAAAAUGAAGUUGUGACAAAUGACACUUUGUGUGCAAAUUGUUAAAGACGGAGAAUUUCAAUGUUAAUUUUUAUUAGGGAUGAAAGAUAAAGAAGAUGCAAGGUGAAAAACAGAGUUUAGGGGAAAUUCUUCAAACUUUUGCUCAACUAACUUCCAUGGGAAUUCAUUUGAAUAACAACUUUGAGAAUCAAGAUAUGGAAAUAAUUAUUCUCUCUCAACAAGCUGGAUAGCUUGUCAGCUAUCAGUACUACCACAGAUUUCUGCAUGUACUGAGCUGGGCCAACCCCUGAGAAAUGAAGCUACAUCAAGCUGAUUUGUUUGUCUUCCAUUCUAAGGACUGUACACUUCUAAAAAGCACAACAUUCAUGUCUAGGCCUGGCAAGGACUGACACCUUUCUUCUUUUAUCCCCCUCUUCUUGUUCCGAUCAAUAUCCUAGGUGUGUUGUUCAUUCGUUCUUUUUGGUG